CAGCCGAUCCACCAGCUGAGAAUUCGUCCGCUCCCGAGGCUGAGCAGGGCGGGGCUGAGUAAAUGCCGGCUUACCAUCUCUACCAUCAUCCGGUUUAGUCAUCCAACAAGAAGAAAUAAGAAAUUCCAGCAAUAAGAAAUGAACAAAAGAUUGGAGCUGAAGACCUUAAGUGCUUGCUUUUGCCCGUUGACCAGAUAAAUAGAACUAUCUGCAUUAUCUAUGCAGCAUGGGGUUUUUAUUAUUUUUACCUAAAGAUGUCUCUUUUUGGUAAUAACAAACGUGUUUUUUAAAAAAGCCUGGUUUUUCUCAAUACGCCUUUAAAGGUUUUUAAAUUGUUUCAUAUCUGGUCAAGUUGAGAUUUUUAAGAACUUCAUUUUUAAUUUGUAAUAAAAGUUUACAACUUGAUUUUUUCAAAAAAGUCAACAAACUGCAAGCACCUGUUAAUAAAGGUCUUAAAUAAUUGUC